rnacentral:tRNA from 1 species
ACCCAGAUAGUUUAAUUAAAACAUCGGUCUUGUAAGCCGAAGACGAGAUCUUAUCAUCUCCCUGAGUA